CGCGAAGGCAAGCGGAUCUCUUAAAGCUGUUCUCAGUUCGGACUGCAGUCUGCAACUCGACUGCACGAAGCUGGAAUCGCUAGUAAUCGCGGAUCAGCACGCCGCGGUGAAUACGUUCCCGGGCCUUGUACACACCGCCCGUCACACCAUGGAAGUCUGCAAUGCCCGAAGCCGGUGGCCUAACCACUUAUGUGGAAGGAGCCGUCUAAGGCAGGGCAGAUGACUGGGGUGAAGUCGUAACAAGGUAGC
rnacentral:rRNA from 1 species